UACGUAGGGUGCGAGCGUUAAUCGGAAUUACUGGGCGUAAAGCGUGCGCAGGCGGUUUUGUAAGCCAGAUGUGAAAUCCCCGGGCUUAACCUGGGAAUGGCAUUUGGGACUGCAAGGCUUGAGUGCGGCAGAGGAGACUGGAAUUCCCGGUGUAGCAGUGAAAUGCGUAGAUAUCGGGAGGAAUACCGAUGGCGAGGGCAGGUCUCUGGGCUGACACUGACGCUCAUGCACGAAAGCGUGGGGAGCAAACAGG
rnacentral:rRNA from 1 species